rnacentral:lncRNA from 1 species
UGUCACCAAAAUACAAACUUUAUUUUUUGUGUUUUGUUGUAAUAAGCAUUAUGUAUUAGAUUCAUAAUAUUUGGUUGAAGCAAACUUAAGUUAGAGAACAGAAACAAAAAACUCAGCAAUUUUUCCAUUUGAAAAGGGGCAUAACUCUAAAAAGAUAAAAGUGAUGCCACCAAACUUUAUACUUGAUCUGUAUAACCAUGUUGGCCAUGUUGGCUGGCAGGUUGAAUCAUUAGACACAUCUUUUUAACAAGAUACUAAAAUGAUAAUUGUAGGAAUUUCAGGAUAGCAACAGACAACACUGGGCUACAAGUGAUGAGAAUAGCUUACUCAACAGUACACCUUGGCUCAGCAAGUUUUGAAAAUAAUUUUGAUCCAAUUGAUGAUGAGAAAAAAAAUUCGUAAGGGUUCCACGGAACCCAGUGUCUCGCCUACUUUUGCUGUUAAUCGCAGACUCAACAAAAAUGAGGAAAAACAUCAAUAAAAAUUUUCCUCUCGAUACUGUCUUU